rnacentral:rRNA from 1 species
CUUAGUGCUGCAGCUAACGCAUUAAGCACUCCGCCUGGGGAGUACGACCGCAAGGUUGAAACUCAAAGGAAUUGACGGGGGCCCGCACAAGCGGUGGAGCAUGUGGUUUAAUUCGAAGCAACGCGAAGAACCUUACCAGGUCUUGACAUCCUUUGACCACUCUGGAGACAGAGCUUUCCCUUCGGGGACAAAGUGACAGGUGGUGCAUGGUUGUCGUCAGCUCGUGUCGUGAGAUGUUGGGUUAAGUCCCGCAACGAGCGCAACCCUUGAUUUUAGUUGCCAGCAUUUAGUUGGGCACUCUAAAGUGACUGCCGGUGCAAGCCGGAGGAAGGUGGGGAUGACGUCAAAUCAUCAUGCCCCUUAUGACCUGGGCUACACACGUGCUACAAUGGAUAGUACAAAGGGUCGCGAAGCCGCGAGGUGGAGCUAAUCCCAUAAAACUAUUCUCAGUUCGGAUUGUAGGCUGCAACUCGCCUACAUGAAGCCGGAAUCGCUAGUAAUCGUGGAUCAGCAUGCCACGGUGAAUACGUUCCCGGGCCUUGUACACACCGCCCGUCACACCACGAGAGUUUGUAACACCCGAAGUCGGUAGGGUAACCUUUAUGGAGCCAGCCGCCGAAGGUGGGACAGAUAAUUGGGGUGAAGUCGUAACAAGGUAGCCGUAUCGGAAGGUGCGGCUGGAUCACCUCCUUUCUAAGGAA